rnacentral:rRNA from 1 species
CCUACGGGAGGCAGCAGUAGGGAAUCUUUCACAAUGGGCGAAAGCCUGAUGGAGCAACGCCGCGUGCAGGAUGAAGGCCUUCGGGUUGUAAACUGCUUUUAUAAGCGAGAAAUAUGAUGGUAACUUAUGAAUAAGGAUCGGCUAACUACGUGCCAGCAGCCGCGGUCAUACGUAGGAUCCGAGCAUUAUCCGGAGUGACUGGGUGUAAAGAGUUGCGUAGGUGGCAUAAUAAGUAGCUAGUGAAAUCUGGUGGCUCAACCAUUCGGACUAUUAGCUAAACUGUUAAGCUCGAGACCGUUAGGGGUAACUGGAAUUUCUAGUGUAGGAGUGAAAUCCGUAGAUAUUAGAAGGAACACCAAUAGCGUAGGCAGGUUGCUGGGACGGUUCUGACACUAAGGCACGAAAGCGUAGGGAGCAAACGGGAUUAGAUACCCGAGUAGUC